rnacentral:rRNA from 1 species
CUACGGGAGGCAGCAGUGGGGAAUCUUCCGCAAUGGGCGGAAGCCUGACGGAGCAACGCCGCGUGAGCGAAGAAGGUCUUCGGAUCGUAAAGCUCUGUUGCCGGGGACGAAUGUAGGCAGUGCAAACAGCAUUGUGUAAUGACGGUACCCGGCGAGGAAGCCACGGCUAACUACGUGCCAGCAGCCGCGGUAAUACGUAGGUGGCGAGCGUUGUCCGGAAUUAUUGGGCGUAAAGCGCGCGCAGGCGGUUCCUUAAGUCUGAUGUGAAAUCUCGCGGCUCAACCGCGAGCGGCCAUUGGAAACUGGGGAACUUGAGUGCAGGAGAGGGGAGCGGAAUUCCACGUGUAGCGGUGAAAUGCGUAGAGAUGUGGAGGAACACCAGUGGCGAAGGCGGCUCUCUGGCCUGUAACUGACGCUGAGGCGCGAAAGCGUGGGGAGCGAACAGGAUUAGAUACCCUGGUAGUCCACGCCGUAAACGAUGAGUGCUAGGUGUUAGACCCUUUCCGGGGUUUAGUGCCGCAGCUAACGCAUUAAGCACUCCGCCUGGGGAGUACGACCGCAAGGUUGAAACUCAAAGGAAUUGUCGGGGACCC